UGCUUCGGGAGGCGAAGGCUAUGAUAGCUCCGUCGUCGCCGUUUAAGAUUCCGGGAGGGUGGAGGCUUCCUCAGCUCUGCGUCGUCGGCAAAGUCUCCGGGAGGUGGAGGCUUACCCAGCUCUGCGUCGCCGGUUCGUGCUCCGAGGGGUGAAGGAUCUCUUUACCUUACCUCGUCGGCUCUUGUUUUUAAUCUAGAUUUGGUUUAGGGUUUGUCUUUUCAUUUUUUUCUUGAGUUUGUCGGUUGAGAACCGAGGGCGAUCUCUCGUGGGUGGAAGAGAGAGGUGGCUAUUGCAAGUUGGUGAUGUUCUGUGCGGCGGUGAUGUUCCUCGGGUGUUUGCUCGAACGGUGGCGGAUGUGAUCUCGCUACGGCGAUUGAUCUAUCCGAUAAAGAUAACACACGAGUAACUCACGGCUGCGGUUAAAAGGGUGUGGAGGUCAUGGAUUAGGCCGGUCACAGUGUUGUAUGUUCCUGUAAUGGCCAGUGAGACGCGUCCUCUCCGACGUAGGUGCUCCCGGUGGUGGCGACGUUGCGGGUUUGGGCCCUGAGCUAGGGCGAAUCGCUUGUUGUCGAGAAUGGGGUGUUUGGGUAAUGGGCUUGGGCCUAAUUUGUUUGGUUUCUUUUUAUGGGCUUUCGAUGUGGGCCUUCGGGUGUCUGUAUGCUUUCACUGGGCUUCGGCCGUUUUUCAAUUAAAAAUCUACUUAGACGGAAAAAAAAAUAUAACUGAUAUUCAAAAUUUUGAUUUUUAUGUGUUUACAUAAUCAAAAAACCUCGAAAACCUAUAUAUCAGUCAGACCUAUAAUCAAAUCUUCAAUGGAAAAAAAAAUAAUCGAAAAAUAUGCUAAGAUUUUAAAAUAAAUUUCAGAUACUCAGUCAUCUAAAUAUAUAUAAAAUAUUUUUGAAUUUUUAAAAUAAAAUUCAGAUAUUCAGUUAUUUGAAAAUAUAUGAAACCGAAGCUUAUCAAUUCAAAUUCGAAUUAAAUAUAAAAAUUUGAAGAAAUAUAAAAAAUAUUUAAGAGGAUUAUAGAUUUUUAAACCGUAAUAUCCGAACCAGCAUCAGAACGCCUGGAAAAUCUAUCAAAUUAAACCGAGAAUUUUACGGUUAAGUUCGAUUUCGGUUCGGCAUGUUUGGUUUGGAUCAAAACCGUAUGCAACUCAUACAGAUUGGAUUGAACUUCUCUCUCUCUCUCUCCGCCCAUUUCAUCCUCUCCAACAUUUCCGAGAUUCCCGAUCAUGUCAUCCGCCGGAAACUCAACAGAAUCCUCCGUCGCCACGGCGGAGACGGACAAGACGUUCUUCUGCCACCAAUGCAACCAAACAAUCACAAUCACCAUCUCCCCCACCGCCGAUCCUUUCUGCCCCCUCUGCAACCUAGGCUUCCUCGAAGAACACACAGAUCCAAUCUUCCCGAUCUCAGAUCCUCCACCCUCAUCACGCCUCCCCUUCAUUCCAGUCAUGGACUUCACGAACCUCGAUCACGACCCCGACGCAUUCGAUCCCGUGAGCUUCAUCCACAGCCACCUCCAGCAGCUCCAAUCAAGCGGCGUCAACGUUCAAAUGCUCUUCGAGAAUCACCACCACCACCACCACGGUGAUUACUUUGGGCGUGGUGGUCUCGAGGAUCUGAUCCAGCAGCUAGGUGAAGACGAUCCGAACCGUUACGGACCACCUCCGGCUUCUAAAUCCGCCGUCGACGCGUUACCUACUGUUAAAGUGACGAUGCGAUCGGAGAUGAAUCAGUGCGCGGUUUGUAUGGAUGAGUUUGAAGAUGGGGUUGGUGUUAAAGAGAUGCCUUGCGGACACGUGUACCAUCAGGAUUGUUUGAUUCCGUGGCUGCGGAUGCGUAACACGUGUCCUGUUUGUAGGCAUGAGUUGCGUACGUACGAUGUUGAUUAUGAGAAUAGGAGGCGAGGAGGAGGGGAGGGUGAGAGGAGGUUUAGAAGACUUGAUGCGGGUUCGGAUUCUGGGAGUGGGUCUGAUAUGGAUACUAGGCCAGACGAGUUGGAUUGAGCUUUGUAGGAGGGAAAAUGUUCAUUGCAGUAAGAUGUUGUGGUGUUUUGAGUUUCUUGGUUUUGCUUACAAGCUUAAAGUUUAUGUCUUGACGCUGGAUCUGGAAUGUGAUUUUCUCAUCGACUUGUCGAAUAAACACUUCUUGUUUGCCUCUGUUUUUUAUUUUGGUUCUGAAAAAGCGGAGGUUUGUGGAAUUUAGAAUCUAUUUGAGGAUAACUUCUUACUUCAACAUUGGUUGAUUGUACUUUCGAUUAUGGCACAUUACUUGCUUACUAAUUACUAUGGUGAUUAAGCCAGCUUGAGCCUAACCGGUCUAGUAUGUUACAUUUAAACUUUAUAUCUGAGGGUAGGCCUCUUAGUACCAUGAAACCGUGAUUGAGGUGGCUGGUCAGAACAUAUGUGUUGUCAUAGCUCGUGGGAUUGAUUUGCAUAAGAUGGCGUUACAACCGAAAUGUCUCUUUUGCUUGGAUUGGAAGAAAACGUGUAAAGAAGCCAUUUGUUUACACACUCCAAAAAACCUGUAAGAAGAAAACUGUAUAUUUGCUUUUAGUGAGAGGUUUCACUUAAAUCUCUGUACAUAUCUAAAUGUAUUUAUAUUUUUUUCGGUUCGUUAGUGUAUAUUACGAAGGUGAGUUUCUUUUUUUAAAUAUGUACUGUAAUUGCUAUCAAAUCGUGGUUGUUGUUCUGUAAUAAGUUCCGGCAUGAUUGGUCUC